rnacentral:rRNA from 1 species
AACUAAGCAAGGAUUCCCCUAGUAGCGGCGAGCGAAGCGGGAAGAGCUCAAAUUUAUAAUCUGGCACUUUCAGUGUCCGAGUUGUAAUCUCUAGAAGUGUUUUCCGCGUUGGACCGCACACAAGUCUGUUGGAAUACAGCGGCACAGUGGUGACACCCCCGUACACGGUGCGGACGCCCAGCGCUUUGUGAUACACUUUCGAAGAGUCGAGAAAAAAAAAGAAAGCAACUCAAAUUGGGUGGUAAAUUCCAUCUAAAGCUAAAUAUUGGCGAGAGACCGAUAGCGAACAAGUACCGUGAGGGAAAGAUGAAAAGCACUUUGGAAAGAGAGUUAACAGUACGUGAAAUUGUUGGAAGGGAAACGCUUGAAGUCAGACUUGCUUGCCGGAGCUUGCUUCGGUUUGCAGGCCAGCAUCAGUUUUCCGGGGUGGAUAAUGGCGGUUAGAAGGUAGCAGCUUCAGCUGUGUUAUAGCUUUCCGCUGGAUACAUCCUGGGGGACUGAGGAACGCAGCGUGCUUUUAGCGGGGAUUUAGACCACUUCACGCUUAGCAUGCUCGUCGACGUACUAUCGGCUGCUG